AGAGUUUGAUCCUGGCUCAGGAUGAACGCUAGCUACAGGCUUAACACAUGCAAGUCGAGGGGCAGCAUGUUGGUUGCUUGCAACCAAUGAUGGCGACCGGCGCACGGGUGAGUAACGCGUAUCCAACCUACCCUUGUCCAUCGGAUAACCCGUCGAAAGGCGGCCUAACACGAUAUGCGGUUCACAGCAGGCAUCUAAGGUGAACGAAAUGUGAAGGAGAAGGAUGGGGAUGCGUCUGAUUAGCUUGUUGGCGGGGUAACGCCACAAGGCUACGGUCAGUAGGGGUUCUGGAGAGGAAGGUCCCCCCACAUUGGAACUGAGACACGGUCCAAACUCCUACGGGAGCA
rnacentral:rRNA from 1 species